rnacentral:rRNA from 1 species
CCUACGGGGGGCUGCAGUGGGGAAUAUUGGACAAUGGGGGCAACCCUGAUCCAGCCAUGCCGCGUGUGUGAAGAAGGCCCUCGGGUUGUAAAGCACUUUCAGUGAGGAAGAACGCCUGGUGGUUAAUACCCAUCAGGAAAGACAUCACUCACAGAAGAAGCACCGGCUAACUCCGUGCCAGCAGCCGCGGUAAUACGGAGGGUGCGAGCGUUAAUCGGAAUUACUGGGCGUAAAGCGCGCGUAGGUGGCUUGAUAAGCCGGUUGUGAAAGCCCCGGGCUCAACCUGGGAACGGCAUCCGGAACUGUCAAGCUAGAGUGCAGGAGAGGAAGGUAGAAUUCCCGGUGUAGCGGUGAAAUGCGUAGAGAUCGGGAGGAAUACCAGUGGCGAAGGCGGCCUUCUGGACUGACACUGACACUGAGGUGCGAAAGCGUGGGUAGCAAACAGGAUUAGAUUCCCGUGUAGUC